rnacentral:misc_RNA from 1 species
AAAAUAAAAUUAAAAAAAAAAAGGGAACAAGUCUAAUCCAUAAUCAGAGGAGUAGAGAGAGAUUGGGGGGAGGAGAAGAAGAGCACGGGAAAUGAUUGAAUGUGGUGAGGGAACAGUUUAGGAAUCUGUGCUCUUCUUCUUGGUUUUGAUAGUGACUGACUGGGGAUUUGGGGUUGUGAUUGCCUACCUCUAGACUAGAGUGUGCGUGUUUUGUUAUUUUCACUCUCGCAUAUGAGCCCUUGGAUCGGAAUCAG